AGUGAACGCUGGCGGCAGGCCUAACACAUGCAAGUCGAACGGCAGCACAGGAGAGCUUGCUCUCUGGGUGGCGAGUGGCGGACGGGUGAGGAAUGCGUCGGAAUCUGCCUAUUUGUGGGGGAUAACGUAGGGAAACUUACGCUAAUACCGCAUACGACCUACGGGUGAAAGUGGGGGACCGCAAGGCCUCACGCAGAUAGAUGAGCCGACGCCGGAUUAGCCAGUUGGCGGGGUAAAGGCCCACCAAGGCGACGAUCCGUAGCUGGUCUGAGAGGAUGAUCAGCCACACUGGAACUGAGACACGGUCCAGACUCCUACGGGAGGCAGCAGUGGGGAAUAUUGGACAAUGGGCGCAAGCCUGAUCCAGCCAUGCCGCGUGUGUGAAGAAGGCCUUCGGGUUGUAAAGCACUUUUGUCCGGAAAGAAAAGCAUUCGGCUAAUAACCGGGUGUUAUGACGGUACCGGAAGAAUAAGCACCGGCUAACUUCGUGCCAGCCGCCGCAGUAAUAC
rnacentral:rRNA from 1 species